UACAGAGGGUGCGAGCGUUGUUCGGAAUUAUUGGGCGUAAAGGGCGCGUAGGCGGCGCGGGAAGUCCGUGGUGAAAGCCCGAGGCUCAACUUCGGGUCGGCCAUGGAUACUCCUGGGCUUGAGCACUGUAGAGGCAGGUGGAAUUCCGGGUGUAGCGGUGGAAUGCGUAGAGAUCCGGAAGAACACCGGUGGCGAAGGCGGCCCGCUGGGCUGUUGCUGACGCUGAGGCGCGACAGCGUGGGGAGCAAACAGG
rnacentral:rRNA from 1 species